rnacentral:lncRNA from 1 species
AUGAGGAUCCUUAGGAUGAUCCAUGAUCCUGAUCCUGAAGCUCUUCUGAGGAUCACUAUCUGCCAAAGAAACAAGGAUCACUUGUUAGGAUAUUAUUAUUUAUGUAAUAUUAACGAGUUAUAUUUUGCCGAAUCUUAUCUAUAACUAACUCAACGGAUAUAUAGCCGUUAAGAAUGAACUAUCCGUUGCGAUCUGACGUCAUGGAGAUGACAGCCCUGCACAAAUCAUCAUUAUAAAUAGAAAUAGGGAUAGGAUCGUUUGCAUUUAAAUUCGAGAACUCUUCCCUUUAUAACCGCGAUCAGAGGGUUGAACAGGUAUUCCCCUUCUCCUUCUAUCUUGCUUGCUCUGUUUUUCUUUUUCUUUCCGUCGUCUUGAAAAAAUGUUGCUCCGGAACUCCCCGCACAAGGAUCCUAAGAAGAACAGUCCCUUGAAGAGUCAAGGGAUCAUCAAGGAUUCUCCCACUGAGAGGUGUUGUUUUACUGAUCCUUACAUUGACAAAAUCCGUCAUUGU